rnacentral:lncRNA from 1 species
CCUGUGUUGGGAGGGGAAGUUCCUCUCUGCAGGUCUUGCCGAUGAUGCCAUUGAAGGCUCAGUUUACAAAAAAAAAAAAAAAAGCCCUGUCAAUGGGUUGCUCCUUUCCUGGAGCUCAUGAUAAUUAGAUUUGGUUUGCAGGGAAAGGAGUUGUCAUUCUGGCUCCCAUGCUUUUGCCAUAGGAGUUUCUGACACAUGGGCACUAAAUAAAUGAUUGAUCCAUUGUCUUUGGGCAUACUGGUCAACCUCUUGAUUUUUAGUUUCUUGAGUUUCUUUUUCUAUAAAAUAAGGAUAAGAAUAGCUCUUACUUCACAAGGCUAGUGUAUGGACAACAUGAGAUAAUGUAUAUAUUCAAAUUUUGAAAUUACUCAGGCAAACUGGCUAAUUAUUGAGGCAUCUGCAAUUGGCAUGCUGGGUCAAAGCAAACAGCAUUUUGAAAGAAAGGGGAGUGUACUUCAAAACAGGGUCUCUACAACAGCAAUACUGACUGAAUAAUAGCUGCCAGAGAUGGAAAACCACCAUUUUGGAAGAAACAACAUUACAAAGAAUAUAAAGGGCAAUGGAAAGAUACAUAGAAGGGAGGAAAAAAAAUUAAAGACAACAAAGAUGGGAAGAACAUUGAGACUGGACCAAAUAUAGAUAUGGAAGAGAACCAUAUUGGAGACAAUACAAUUGUGAAGGCUGAUUUUCAAGGUAAUUAAAGAAGGGGAAGGUUCCAAAGGAAUGGGAAAAUCUUAUAUUCCUUAUUGAUACCACAAAUAUGAUGGAAAGAACAUAAGCAUCUCCUAACAUAUAGUUAGUCUCCAUUUUAUAUAAAAACUUCAUGAGGGUCAUUUUUUCAUAAAUGAAGAGCAUCUUCAUUAAGGCUAUUCAUAGGGAACAAUCAGGCUUUGUCAAGCAAUAUUCAAUGAGUCACUACAUUACCAUGUCACAAUUGACUAAAAUAUAUAGAUGAU